AAAGUACAUGGAUUCUUCUAUGGUUAUUACAACAACAGCUAGAGAAUCUUUUUACUGCGCCAUUUUCCUUGUCGAAAGUCUGUGAUUCCAAGGGGACAACCUCUUCCAGCUCUUCCCAGUCCACCAAGCCACUGUUGUAACCAACUCAGCACUGUACGUUUCAGCUUGUGGCUCAGAUGAUACAGUCAUCCUGGAUGAGGAAUGAAGCGCUUCCAGAAAACGAGAGAAGGCUCAUAAUGAUGUCAAACAUUUAAUUGAAUCUGCACUGACCAUGAAACCUGGUGGAGGUCGUAUCAGGUGGUUAAAGGAUAAUCUCAGGAUUUUUAAACCUGGGCCCCAUUUUCACAUAUUUUGGUGUUGGAAUGACUCGUAGGUACAGAAAGUUUUAAAUCAGCGAAGUAGAUGGAUUCCAGGAGACAUUCUGUUUUUACAGGAAGCUGAAAUCUCAAACACAAUUCUCACUCUAAAAUCUCCUGACACACAUUCAACACAAACACACAGCAGGCACACUUCGGCAUCACAACUCUCUCAGGGCUUAUUUGGUAGAUUUUGGUUAGUAGAUUCCAAAUGAUGGCAUGAUAAUGACGUUUGUUAUGGGCUACAAUUCUCCCCUGGAAUGCACUUUAAACAACAAUUUCAGUAUUUAAAAUGAAUGUGCAGUUAAAUAGCGAGUGCUAAAUGAGCUGUCACUCAAGAAGAACUACAAACUAAACCUUGAGGUUAAAUGUGUAAGCUGGACAUGCUAAAGUAGAAAAUUGUAAAACCCUAGAAAGUAGUUAUUUAGAUUUUUAUUUCAACAAAGUGUUUGGCAAGAAUAACACUUAAAGUGAGUAAAUGUUGGUGAGUUUUAUGAAUUGCAUGAGUCAAUGAAAAUGUUUAACACUCAUGAAGGGUGAAUUAAUUGUAAAACACACUCCGAAUGUUCAGACUUACUGCUGACUUUAGUGAGUAGCUAACCUUGUAGUAUUAUAGACAGUUAAUUCACACAAUGGCCUUGAGAGGGAGGCUGCUGGCAGACCUGCUGGGGGAUGUGGCUGACCAGCUUGAAAACAGCAAGUUUCAACUGUUACAUCCAGUGCUCCCCAUUCACAUGUUGGCGUGUGUAUUGGUUGGUACACACAAGGAGGAGGCUGGCUUGAAGU